rnacentral:rRNA from 1 species
GGGUCAGUAGGUUGGUCGUGCCACCGGUACGUACUGGUCUCACUGAUUCCUCCUUCCUGAAGAACCGUAAUGCCAUUAAUUUGGUGUUGCGGGGAAACAGGACUGUUACUUUGAAGAAAUUAGAGUGUUUAAAGCAAGCUAACGCUUGAAUACAUUAGCAUGGAAUAAUGAAAUAGGACGAUCGAUCCUAUUUUGCUGGUUUCUAGGAUUGACGUA